rnacentral:snoRNA from 1 species
CCUCUGGAGGAUGAUUAGCUGAUCUGGCAUAUCCUCGCGGGGCUAGACAUGGAGUACCAGCCGCUGGUUUCAGC